rnacentral:rRNA from 1 species
GGGCCCGCACAAGCGGCGGAGCAUGCGGAUUAAUUCGAUGCAACGCGAAGAACCUUACCUGGGCUUGACAUGUUCCCGACGACGGCGGAGAUGUCGUUUCCCUUCGGGGCGGGUUCACAGGUGGUGCAUGGUCGUCGUCAGCUCGUGUCGUGAGAUGUUGGGUCAAGUCCCGCAACGAGCGCAACCCUCGCCCCGUGUUGCCAGCGCGUCAUGGCGGGAACUCACGGGGGACCGCCGGGGUUAACCCGGAGGAAGGUGGGGAUGACGUCAGAUCAUCAUGCCCCUUACGUCCAGGGCUUCACGCAUGCUACAAUGGCCGGUACAGCGGGAUGCGACAUGGUGACAUGGAGCGGAUCCCUGAAAACCGGUCUCAGUUCGGAUCGGAGCCUGCAACCCGGCUCCGUGAAGGCGGAGUCGCUAGUAAUCGCGGAUCAGCAACGCCGCGGUGAAUGCGUUCCCGGGCCUU